rnacentral:rRNA from 1 species
AUGGACUCGAUCAUGGAGCGCCCGAUGGUGGACGGCAACGGCGGGACGAUCGGGCGGAGCAAGUCGGACCAGCUGCCGCCGGCGCCGGCGUCGGCGUCCACGGCGCAGUCGCUCAGCCGGACGGCGUCGGCGGAGACGGUGCUCAGCACGGCCGACGUGACCAGCCUGUCGCGCAAGUCCAGCUUCGGGAAGCGCUCCGCGUCGGGCGGCAGCGGCGCCGGCGGGAACAGCCACGGGCGCAGCCACAUCCGCAAGUCCCGGAGCGCGCAGCUGAAGCUGGACAUGGAGGACCUCGUCAGCAGCGGCGCCGCGCUCAGCCGCGCGUCCAGCGCCAGCCUCGGCUUCUCCUUCACCUUCACCGGCUUCACCCCGCCGCCCCGGGACAUGAUGUCCUCCGCCGAGCUCGCGCCCUUCAGCGACGACGACGUCGACCUCGAGGCCGCCGAUACCACGCGCCGCAAGAGCCUCAUGGCAGAGCCCACCCUGCCCAUAUACCUCAAGUUUUCGGAGGUGAAGUACAGGGUGGCGGUGAAGGGGACGCCGAGGGAGAUACUGAGCGGGAUAUCUGGGUCGGCGAGCCCCGGCGAGGUGCUGGCGAUGAUGGGCCCCUCCGGCAGCGGCAAGACAACGCUUCUCAGCAUGCUCGGCGGCAGGGCCACCGCCGCCGACGGCUGCAUCUCCUACAACGACGAGCCCUUCGGCAAGUCCCUCAAGCGCAGGAUUGGAUUUGUGACUCAAGAUGAUGUUCUCUUUACUCAUCUUACUGUGAAGGAGACACUAACAUACGCAGCAUUACUUCGUCUCCCAAGAACAAUGACCAGGGAGCAAAAGAAAGAACGGGCAAUGGACAUCAUAUAUGAACUGGGCCUCGAGAGGUGCCAGGACACUAUGAUUGGAGGAUCUUUUGUGCGUGGGGUUUCAGGGGGUGAAAGGAAAAGAGUUUGCAUCGGAAAUGAGAUUAUAAUCAAUCCAUCUUUGCUUUUCCUUGAUGAGCCGACAUCUGGGUUGGAUUCAACUACAGCGCUUAGGAUAGUUCAACUUCUACAUGACAUUGCUGAGACUGGGAAGACAGUGAUCACCACGAUCCAUCAACCAUCCAGCAGGCUGUUUCAUAAGUUUGACAAGCUUAUCCUCCUGGGCAGAGGAAGUUUGCUCUACUUUGGGAAGACAGCUGAAGCCAUGCCCUACUUUUCAUCCAUUGGAUGCAACCCGCUCAUCGCAAUGAACCCAGCAGAAUUUCUACUGGAUCUUGCUAAUGGCAACACUAAUGAUGUUUCUGUUCCUUCCGAAUUAGAUGACAAGGUGCACAUGGAAAAUCAGAAUCUGCAGGAUACUAAUUCCAAGAUUAACUUAAGGCCAUCAGCACAAGAUGUUCAUGAGUACCUUGUUGAUGCUUAUGAGCAUCGAGUGGCAUAUAAGGAGAAGAAGAAGCUUCUAGCACCACUUCCGAUCAGUGAUGAUAUGAAGGCAACAAUAACAUCUUCGAAACGAGAGUGGGGCACAAACUGGUGCCAACAAUAUUCCAUCCUCUUCUGUAGAGGUCUCAAGGAAAGACGGCAUGAUUAUUUGAGCUGGAUGAGAAUCACCCAGGUCAUAGCUACAUCAAUUAUCUUAGGUUUGCUCUGGUGGCACUCUGAUCCCACCACACCAAAAGGUCUACAAGAUCAGGCAGGCUUACUGUUUUUCAUAGCCGUGUUUUGGGGUUUCUUUCCUGUGUUUACUGCCAUCUUCACAUUCCCUCAAGAGAGGGCAAUGUUGAACAAGGAGCGUGCAGCUGACAUGUACAAGCUCAGUGCAUACUUCUUGGCCAGAACGACAAGUGAUCUGCCACUAGACCUUUUCCUCCCAGUCAUAUUUAUGGUGAUUGUCUACUUCAUGGCAGGCCUCAAAGCAAGUGCCAUGCGUUUCUUUCUUAGCAUGUUGACCGUCUUUCUCAGCAUCAUUGCUGCUCAGGGACUAGGACUGGCAAUUGGAGCUACCCUCUUGGAUAUCAAGAAGGCAACUACUCUAGCUUCAGUCACAGUCAUGACAUUCAUGCUGGCAGGAGGGUUCUUUGUAAAGAGGGUUCCGCCAUUCAUAUCCUGGCUCCGGUACCUGUCCUUCAACUACCACACGUACAGGCUGCUGCUGAAGGUGCAGUACGACCCCGUGCCAGACAUCCUGAUGACCUCCGUACCUCUGGAUAACGGCGUGACAGAAGUCGGAGCCCUGGUUGCGAUGAUCAUCGGGUACCGGGUGCUGGCCUACCUGUCCCUCAGGCGAGUGAAGGCUUCGAACGGCUAG